AACGUAGGUUCCGAGCGUUAUCCGGAUUUACUGGGCGUAAAGCGCGUUCAGGCGGUUUGGCAAGUCGGGCAUGAAAUCUCUCGGCUCAACCGGGAGAGGUUGUCCGAUACUGCUGGACUUGAGGGCAGUAGAGGGUGGUGGAAUUCCGGGUGUAGUGGUGAAAUGCGUAGAUAUCUGCAGGAACACCCGUGGCGAAAGCGGCGCGCUGGACCACUACUGACGCUGAGGAACGAAAGCUAGGGGAGCAAACAGG
rnacentral:rRNA from 1 species